CGGGACGCGGCGGUGUAUUACUGCGCCGUGGGAGACCCGGCGGCACAGGUCACGCACAAAAGGAUGCUGUGCUCCAGUUCCCACCAGAAACGACUGUCCAGGCAGGACACGGUGCAACACUGCACUGCAAUUUCUCCACCAGCGACCCUUAUGCCUGCAUUUUCUGGUACCAGCAGUGCCUGACCCAGUCCCCUGAGAUGCUGCUUGUGGACAGAUCCAGAUCUCAUGUGGAUUCAGGGAGGUUCUGCUGUGUGCUGUGUGCUGAGAGCUCCCAGGUGCUUCUCUAAGUGCAGGAUGCCGAGCUCCAGGACAGUGCUGUGUCUGUGCUCUGAGCCCAUGCCAAUGUAUGCACUACUGUGAAGCAUUGCACAGGAAGACUUGUGGUCUGCUUUGGGGAGGUCACCCCAUUUCUGGGAACUAGUUUGUCCCUCUGCAUGUAGUGCUUUUUGCAUGCCAGGUCUGACUGGUGGAACAAAGAGCUGGCCCUGGAGAGCAGGUGUGACUACUGCUGGCAAAUCAGCCAUGGUGGCUGCAGAGAAGCAUUAGGUGGUGUUUCCUCCCUGAGGGAGGAAAUGUGCUGGUGUUUGCUCCUAGUGCAGGGCACUGCUCCUUGUCCCCAGCAUGGGGGAGACAGCUGGGGAGCCACCUUCACUUUCAAGCUCUGCCCACUGGGCCAGGUGUCUUCUCCAGGUGCUGGACACAGGGAAAUCCAACCCCUUUAAGUGGAGCUCGAUAGACCCCUUUCCCAAUGAAGGACCGAGAAAUCACGACUCUGCAUUCAAAAAAGGGGAGUGAAUUCCCACAUGCGCAGGUCCCUUGUUUUCUCACAGCUGGGCAUGGUGAUCGGGUUCGUAUAAUUUUGACAGUAUGGUUGAUGUUAGAGGGGACCCUUAGAGGGGGGAGCAACCACCAGAGUCUGAGGGGUCCUUUAUUGAAGCAAGCUUUCCUGUGAACGUGAACAAAGACCCCAUCUGGGAA